AGUUGCGAGCCGAGGUUGGUUGGAGGCCUCGUUAAACCCCAACCAAAACCAUAAAUGCGGACUCUCACGAGUACGCCCUCGUCUAAAUAAGACAAGGCAUUCGUCCAGCGUGGGCCCGUGCGCUGGGUAGCGGGUGUUAGCCAACGGGCUUGGUCAGACCGCGUGUUUCAGGCGCCUGAUGACAUCUAACUGAGACUGGUUUUCCUGGACCCUGCCGGAUCGGCUAAGGGGAAACGAGAUCCAGAAAUCCGGACACGCUCGUAGACGCUUCAUCGCACGCAGUCGCGGACGCGGGUUCAAUUCCCGCCGUCUCCACUA
rnacentral:tmRNA from 1 species